GUACUUCAUUCUCUCCAUUUUCAAGCAAGGGACAGCAAUGAUAACAUUUGUUGAUACACGGUAAUAACUGUUAUUUGACGUGUUUAAACACGAGUCAUAUAGUGUAGCAAUCACGUAUCUGGCUGUAUCGCGUACCCUGUGUAGGGUAUUGUCCCGACAGACUGCAGUGCCAAUGGUACGCUGUGUUCCUCGGCUUCCCUUUGAGGAGAGUGAAUGCCGGGCUCUACUGCUGAAGGAGUGGUCCUGCUACAAACAGACCCAGCACCGGGUUGAGAUGGAGGCAGUAGGCCUGGCUGUGGAGGCCAAGAGGGAUGCUCUGGAGGAGCUGAGGCUGGAGUGAGGGGAGCUCUACAAGGCAUCACUGAGGCCAAACCCCCUGCUCUUCCCUUUCAACCACCAGGGAUCCAGCUUCACGAGGCCCAGUAUGAGGCACUUGAGGGCAAAUACAACAUCACCAAAGUUUACACCCAGCGAGAGGGUGGGGGAUAUUAACAUUGUGGGCAUAAUACGUGUUGACAUGGUUGUUACAUCCAUGUUUUUACAUGAUUUGAUCGGACAGACUAAAUAUUUGACGAGGAUGUUCAUGAAAGAAGAUGAGACAUUAAAGCUUGCUCAGAACAACGGCCCGGGCACCAAUAGUGGGUGUAUGUCUCAUUCAAAGUAAGGGUAAUUUAACUGCUUACUGACCAUGACCUAUUCAUCGUAUUGACAACUGCCCUAGCAUGGAUACACAAAUUUCAAUUCACACUCAUGAAGUGAUUCACAUUCUGUAGUGUGUGUGCUCUGUAAUGUUACAUUCAUAGAUCUCAUAGGUUUAAAUAGUCUGUAAGUAAAACAUACCAGGGGGUUGAAAUAAAAGAUUCACAUUUGUUUUAUUUGAAAUGCAUUUUUAUGUAUGCAUGUAUGUAACACUGUAGAUAAGGUAUCAUGUGAAAUAAUAAAAGGCAAAGAUCCUGUG